CAUGUGUCACCUGAUUGGUGGAUCGAAUAGCUGGAUGGCUGGCUGCAGCUUUCCCCCUCUACACCUUGGAUCCCGUCUCCCACUGCAGUGUCCCAAUUUCAUGGCUGCUAGGGGGCAUCCAGUGGACCGGUAGCGGAGCGCAGAAGGCUGGGGGCGGAGCUACUGAGGACGUCUACACAAGGAGCAUAUCCUGAUUAACAGGAAGAGGAGAUAAAAGGCGGGAAAAAGAAGAAAGAAAAAGUUUGGAGUGUUUUGGGUUUGUUUGGAUCAAUGCCCAAAAGACUCCAAUUUUUACAAUAAAAACGGACAAUGAGAUGGCAGUCACGAGGAACAAGCGGGGUGGAGAGGACUUAAGUCCAUGCAUUGCAUUGCUAAGGACUUUUUUUUUUUCUUUAAUUUUUGCG